UACAGGGGGUGCAAACGUUGCUCGGAAUCACUGGGCGUAAAGGGCGCGUAGGCGGGAUGGCAAGUCAGUCGUGAAAUCUCUCGGCUCAACCGAGAAACGUCGGCUGAUACUGCCGUUCUUGAGGGAUGCAGAGGAGACUGGAAUUCCCGGUGUAGCGGUGAAAUGUGUAGAGAUCGGGAGGAACACCGGUGGCGAAGGCGGGUCUCUGGGCAUUUCCUGACGCUGAGGCGCGAAAGCGUGGGGAGCAAACGGG
rnacentral:rRNA from 1 species